AAAGUAGUACCAAGUUAUAACUUUAAAAAAACAUAAUCAUUAUAACUUUAUCUUUUUUUCCUUCUUUACUGAAUCCAGUAAAUUAAUUAUAAAAACAAGAAUCGAAUAUGCGAUGUUGGGCAGUUCUUACACUAUUACUUUAAAAAUAGUUUGAUGGUUGGCUUUUUCUAAUUCUUCUGUAUUUAACAAAAAUAUCUCACCCGGUCCAUCAUUUAGUAAAACUCCUAUAAUAACAUUGGCUAUGAAGCGACCUUCAUCUCGUCAAUGGAUAACCAUAUUUUGUUAUUCGAUACAUGGCUUCAUAUUUUUUCUAAAGUAUCUUUAUAACAGUCAUCUAUGUAACCUCUAUGAAGAGUAACUUCCUUUGGAAUUUCUUUUCCUGUAUAUUCUUGUAAAGAUGCUCUAAAUUUUACAUUUUCUAUUUUGUAUAAAGGAAUAUUAGCAAAUAACAAAGCUUUACAUAAAUCUUUGUUAAACUGACAUUUUUUAGUUGGCAGAUUAAAUUCAAAAAGUUGUUGACUUUUUUUUGGCUUAUCAGUGUGAUUAACUGACUUGAUAUGUUUUUCGGUUUUAAGAUAUUGUAACUCAGUAAAACGUUUUUGAGCACUAACUUUAACUUCACAAAGUUAACAAAAUAGUACUGAUUUAUCAAUCAAAAACACAGAAUUUCCAAAUUCUGAAACAUAUGACUGUAGGCAACUACAUGUAUUUGGUUUUACUUUAGGCAUUUUUAAUUGAAUCGUCAAAAAACAAUACAAACAGACUAACUAGGUAUAUUAAAGCAAAAAGAAAACACAUAGGAUACUAAUAGACAAAUUGACAUCAACUGACAGCGUAUUCCUUAUCGACCAUCACACACUAACAACACACAUAUGAUUUGGAAAACACACGUUAUAGAUUACAUUAUAAUUUAUCUAUUUUUAUCUAUUAUCUAUUUUUUUCCAAUUUCUAGAAACUUCAUAUUAAAUGUUGUAUAGUACGUAUGUAUAAAAUAUUAUUCUCUGCUGAGUAUUGUUUUAAUUUUAAUAAAAUAUGUGAAAUAUGCUCUUAAAAUAUAAAUAUAACAAAAUAUGCUCUUAUAGGGAAAAAACAGCUGAAUAUGCAAAAUGUGCAAAAUAAAAAUGAUUGUUUUAAACUCCUAGUACAAUGAAACAAAUUUCUAUAUCCUUUAGCUAUGUUUAGAAUGAUUAUUGAAAAAUAUGUAAACUCCUAUAAGUCUCUAGCCCUAAUAAUAAAAUUAUUUUUGAAUACAAUAGGUACACAUUUUUAUUUUAUUAAUUGUUCUAGGUAAUACUUAUAUCUGCUACUUUGCCUCAUGAAAUACUAGAAAUAACAAACAAAUUUAUGACUGAGGCUAUAAGAAUAUUGAUAAAACAGUUUGUAAAAAUUUCUAGACAAAUGUCACUGUAAAUAAUAUUGAUAUUUUUUAGUGAUCAACUUACAUUGGAAGGUAUGGGACGGUUUUUUGUUUCAGUUGGAAAAGAAGGAUGGAAGUUUAAUUCAGUGUGAUCUAUAUGAUACAUUAACUGUAACUCAAAAAGUUAUUUUCUGUAGUAAAAACAUUUAUUCAGUACAAUGGUGUCAAACAUAUUUUAUAGUAAUGGGUAAGAACUGCCUAACAUAGCAUAUUCGAUUUCUUGUGUUUUAUAAUUAAUUAAUUGGAUUCAGUAAAGAAGAAGAAAAAAAUAAAGUUAUAAUAAUUAUGUUUUUUUUAAAGUUAUAACUUGG
rnacentral:lncRNA from 1 species